rnacentral:tRNA from 1 species
GGUAAAAUGGCUGAUAAUAAGCGAUAAAUUGUAAAUUUAUUUAUGAAUAUUAAUUCUUUUACCA